GACUUGUUCAACUUUGACUCGUUCUAAAAUUUGAUAGUGUUCCUGGUACAUGUAUGGUUGUUAUGUGUUCAGCAAAUGUUUGUUGAAUUAAACAACAGAUUUCUAUGUAUCUUCACCCGCUUUGACAUAGGAUAUUUCAUGGGAUAAAAAUUUCAUCAUCCAUCUCAGAACCCUGCAAAGUAUCAUGAAAUAGACCCACUAUAGUUAAGUAUCAACGAAAAUAUCAUAUUACUGUCUUUUUGUUCAUACUGACUGGAGAACUUAUCGUGUGUGAUUUCCCAUAAUGUGUUUCAUCUAUGUGUUUCCAUGCUGUGGAUUAUUUUUUAUCACAUUCAUAAGAAAACCAAGGACCUUUUUAAAAAAAUGGUUUAGUUAAACGUGGUGGUAAAAUAAUUUUGACAGUACAGAUAUUGCAUUAAUUAUUUACAUGUGAGGGUAUGUUUGAAAGGCCACAUGCUGUCCCUAACUCUUCUAACCCUUUGAAAGGAUUUACUUUGAUAGAAAAAAUUGGACAUCAAGGAAUUAUUCAUAUACAUUUGCUGUGGUUUUCAUUUAAGACAGGAAGGGGUUUUUCAAGGUUUUCCACGCUUUUAUUUGAUUUAAUUUCAUGCUCACUAGAGCCCAUUUCCAUCACAGUCACCGACACCUUGAACUUGCUGUGAUUUUCCUCUGUUAAGCAGCCCAGAUGAUACUCAGUAAGAUUCUUGGACUCUAAGCCCCAUGUCUUGGAAACAGACCUCACUGAAUUAGUGAAGAUUCCAGGGCAUUCUUCUUGCUGAGCUGGUUAAGCCUUUGAAAAUAUACUAUGGCCACUAGGAUUUGCAGGCUUAGUGGACCUACCAUAAAAGGUUUCAGAGACCUUGGAUGGCUCCGGUGCCUGGAGUGCAGUGGUUACACCCCAUUAGCCCCAGAGCAGGGGCUGUCUUCCCCACGGUCCCCUGUGGUCAACAUCUUCCCAUUCUGGCAGCGGGGCCUCAGGAAGGCAGCCCAGAGUCACUGAGGUGCUUCCCAGGAGAGUACAGAGAGACGCACACCCACCCUGUGCUCCCUUCCACAGGGAUUUUGUCUUUAUUUCUCCUUUGUCUGCUCACCGAAGAGUUUAGGUGGAUUCUCUGAAUGGCAGAGGUGAUGUUUGCUGGAGUAGACAGUGAACGGUAGAGUAGAAAGUGAACAGGAGGGAAUUGCAGCUUUGCAUUUACUAGCGGGGUGCAUCUGAAAGGUACUUGUUACCCGGGUCCCCGUUUCACCAUCUGUAAUGGUGGGUAAGGAUCCCUACCUCAGAGGGCUGCUGGAUGGAUGAAAUGAUCUGAAACAAAAUGAAAUAAAGAUAAAGGAAGUGGACCCACCUCGCCAAGGUCCGGCAUGUGGUAGGUACUUAACAAAUCUUGCUACCUCAGGCUAUAGCUGGUCGAGGUUAUCGUGCACUUCAUACACACUGGACUGGUUUUGACCCUAGCAUCUGCUGUAGGUCUGUGUUCAAAACACCUCCUCCUUCAAAUGGGCACUUAGCCUGCCUUCGAGGUGUGCCUAAGACCAGCAGGGACCAGCCUUGGCCACCGGCCCAGGGAGGAGGGCUCUAUGAUUUCUGGUCAUCAAGAUUCUGUGCGGUCGGUUGCAGCCUGAGAUGAAUAUCAUGGUCUUGUUGCUUACUUUACAUCAUGCGGCUCUGCCCACAUCCUCCCCACUAAAUGAGUAAGGCAGGAAAACUUUAAAGCUGCAGAAUGAUUAAAAAAAAAAAUAAUCUGGGGUCUAAUAAUUCCCUUGCAGGUUGUGUAAGCAGGAAGGUUUAAAAUCACACAAGAAGGAUUUAAGGGAAAAGGCACACUCAUUUCUAUUCCCAGCAAACAUAAGCAGCUAGCGCAUCUGGUUUUCUUAAACGAUCUUUACUUACAGAAGGAUCCAUCACCCAGAGAGAGUAUCUGUGUCCAGAAUCUGCCCAGCGGGAAAGUGACUCAGAGCAGCUCUGGGGUUCAGAGAGCUGAGAGGCCGGCUUUUGAUGUGCCUUUAGCAUAUCGCUGGGCGCCACCCAGGAAUCCAAAAGCCACGCAUGGGCAGACCGGGGCUGCUGUGAAAGCUCCUCCCUGGGACACUCCCUGGCUCCCUUGGGGGGAUCCAAGAUGGCAACGUGCAAGAUGGCCACCGGUAUUACAGCUGACUAUCGCCAGCAAGGAGAGAUAUAUCCCAACACCUAGAACAGUACCUGGUAUCUACUAGAUACUCCAUAAAUAUUCUUUGAAUAUAAGAUUGAAUGAAAAGAUGGAGUCGAACCCAGUUCUGAUGACAUCAUUUGAGUGCUGGACCUAUUGUGUCUGAAGCAAGACCAAUUCUAGACUUCUCAGCGCUGAUUUCCUUCAUGGAAACAUGAGAGCAGGGAAAUGGCAGCUAACAAUUACUGAAAUACUCUAUGUCAAGGGUACACGGCAAGCAUCACUGCUCAUUCUCACAAAGACCCUGUAAGGUGAAGACAUUCUGUAUGCAUGGUACCAAAGAAGAAAGUAUACUCUGUGAAAGGUGGAAUUUUGGGAUGCGUGAUUGUAGCCAUUGUUUACUGAGCAUCUACUGUGUGCCAGUCCUCCAGAUGUGCCAUGACAAAAAUAACAUUCAAGUUUUUCUGGGUUUCUUCUGGAAAACCAGCUUGAGAGUAAAGAUGGCAGCUGAACACUUCUGUGAACUCAAAGGCCAAGAGAUUGACAAUGAGUGAAAUGGAUCAUGAGCCACAUUUGGUGCACCAACCAGAUCGACUCAGGCACAAAGAGAAGGUGUGGGUUUGGUGGAGUGAUGAGAGGUUCUACCCUUUCAAUUGGUUUGCCAGUCUUGGUCUGAAUUCCUCACUAAUCUCUGAAUAACAGA